rnacentral:rRNA from 1 species
GAUGAACGCUGGCGGCGUGCUUAACACAUGCAAGUCGAGCGAAAAGACGAGGAGCUUGCUCCACUGACGUUAGCGGCGGACGGGUGAGUAACACGUGUAUAACCUACCUAUAAGACUGGGAUAACUUCGGGAAACCGGAGCUAAUACCGGAUAAUAUAUUGAACCGCAUGGUUCAAUAGUGAAAGACGGUUUUGCUGUCUCUUAUAGAUGGAUCCGCGCCGCAUUAGCUAGUUGGUAAGGUAACGGCUUACCAAGGCAACGAUGCGUAGCCGACCUGAGAGGAUGAUCGGCCACACUGGAACUGAGACACGGUCCAGACUCCUACGGGAGGCAGCAGUAGGGAAUCUUCCGCAAUGGGCGAAAGCCUGACCGAGCAACGCCGCGUGAGUGAUGAAGGUCUUCGGAUCGUAAAACUCUGUUAUUAGGGAAGAACAGAUGUGUAAGUAACUAUGCACGUCUUGACGGUACCUGAUCAGAAAGCCACGGCUAACUACGUG